GUCCUUGGCCUUGUUGCGCCACUGGUGCUGGGUCCUCGGGCUCGGUGCCUUUGGUGCGCCUGGCCUAAAAAGCAUUCGCGCUGUGGUUUUCAAUGCACGGUUUAGGGAUGCAACGUCGCAGAGCAAUCUGCCCCUCGGGUGGCGGGACUUGAUAUAUUCCAGUAACGGUGCGGAGCCGUUCAGGCGAUGAUAGCGCGGUUAAACCAUAUCACGUACAGUC
ensembl:snoRNA snoRNA:Psi28S-291